rnacentral:rRNA from 1 species
GACGAACCGUGCGAACGUUGUUCGGAAUCACUGGGCUUAAAGGGCGCGUAGGCGGCUUGCCAAGUCGGGGGUGAAAUCUUUCGGCCCAACCGGAAAAGUGCCCCCGAUACUGGCAGGCUCGAGCGAGGCAGGGGCGGGGGGAACUUCCGGUGGAGCGGUGAAAUGCGUUGAUAUCGGAAGGAACGCCGGUGGCGAAAGCGCCCCGCUGGGCCUCUCCUGACGCUGAGGCGCGAAAGCCAGGGGAGCAAACGGGAUUAGAUACCCCGGUAGUCCUGGCCCUAAACGAUGGGCACUGGGUAGUGGGCCCUCGGUGGCUCACUGCCGCAGCGAAAGUGGUAAGUGCCCCGCCUGGGGAGUAUGGUCGCAAGGCUGAA